rnacentral:sRNA from 1 species
UUCCCCGUUCGACGUUCUGAUGAAAUUGUUUGAGUAACGGCUCGCCAAAAGCCGCUGAUUGCUUAGUACCCAAUCAAUUUACCACACCAUUUCAGUUUAGAACCGUCAACGGGUUUUUCG